UACGAAGGGGGCUAGCGUUGCUCGGAAUUACUGGGCGUAAAGCGCACGUAGGCGGAUUGUUAAGUCGGGGGUGAAAUCCUGGAGCUCAACUCCAGAACUGCCUUCGAUACUGGCGAUCUCGAGUUCGGGAGAGGUGAGUGGAACUGCGAGUGUAGAGGUGAAAUUCGUAGAUAUUCGCAAGAACACCAGUGGCGAAGGCGGCCUGCUGGGCAGUUUAGCUGACACUGAGGCGCGACAGCGUGGGGAGCAAACAGG
rnacentral:rRNA from 1 species